UUCUUCCUAUAAUAUGUAACAAUUGCCCCCUCCAACCUGCAUCAAAUAGGAAAAUUCAGGUAAUAAAAGCGGUGCAGAAGAACAUAAUAGGUAAAAAAGGACAGAAUUUGUUAAGAAAAGAGGAGCAACUUCACAGGAUAGAAGAAAAGAUACUAAUAUAAGCAUGUACAUAGUUGUAGAGACUACAAUUGCAAUGUAGGAUUUUUUGUUGGGAUCUGUGGUCUUCUUCAAUUGAUGGAGACUCUCCUCAAAAUGAAAACCUGCUACAUGAGCAGAGCAAAAAGAGCAAUGGCAACCAUCAAUGCAAAGAUUUUAUGAGACAAAGAAAAGAAGUCAUUAACAAAAAUAUCAACUCUUGAUGAUAGUACUUCAGCAAAGUUUGAAUAGUUGGCAACUUCCUCUAUAAACUCAGAAAGAUUCCCAAGAAGGAUAUGAUUUGUUGAGGACUUCCAUCUUCAAUGCCACAUCACUAGAAAUACAUUGUAGGACAACAACUUUGUGUUGUAGAAGUGAUUUAGGAUAUCGGCAGCAAUCUCAGCAUCAAGAAGUUAUGAGUUAAAUUUCCUCCUCCAGUUGCUCACAAGUAUUACUUCGGCUCCACCUUAUAUUCAGGUGACAGCUUGCUUUGAUAUGCAGCCUGCAAACCAUCUUUUGAUGAUGAUCGAACUGAAGGGUAAAGUAUUUUCAAUAUAUGAACAGAACUUCGGUGGAAGUAGUUUGGCUAUAAUCUUAGGAGAACCAUACAACCUUAGUUUCUUUAACCAUACCGUUCCUUCAAUUGGGUUCAGAGGUCGACCCAUCUUCUCGUUUUGCCUCUCAACAAGAAGUUACCAUUUAAGCACCUUACGGAGCUCCAAUGGAAGAAGAGCCAACGUAUACUCUGC
rnacentral:misc_RNA from 1 species